AGUAAUGUCUGGGAAACUGCCUGAUGGAGGGGGAUAACGUACUGGAAACGGUAGCUAAUACCGCAUAACGUCGCAAGACCAAAGUGGGGGACCUUCGGGCCUCAUGCCAUCAGAUGUGCCCAGAUGGGAUUAGCUAGUAGGUGGGGUAACGGCUCACCUAGGCGACGAUCCCUAGCUGGUCUGAGAGGAUGACCAGCCACACUGGAACUGAGACACGGUCCAG
rnacentral:rRNA from 1 species